rnacentral:ribozyme from 17 species
UUUUUUUUUUUUUUUUUUUUUUUUAACUGACACGAAAUGGGAUUUAUUAUUAUUGAAUUAAGCAUCGAAGAAUCGAGAAACGGAUUUCUCGGAGAGUACAAAAUGGU